UUACGAAGGGGGCAAGCGUUGUUCGGAAUAACUGGGCGGAAAGCGCACGUAGGCGGAAUGUUAAGUUAGAGGUGAAAUCCCAGGGCUCAACCCUGGAACGGCCUUUAAUACUGGCAAUCUAGAGACCGAGAGAGGUGAGUGGAAUUCCGAGUGUAGAGGUGAAAUUCGUAGAUAUUCGGAGGAACACCAGUGGCGAAGGCGGCUCACUGGCUCGGUACUGACGCUGAGGUGCGAAAGCGUGGGGAGCAAACAGGAUUAGAAACCCUAGUAGUCC
rnacentral:rRNA from 1 species